GCCCAUGUCCCUUUGAGAUUUUAUGGAAGCUUCAUUACAUAGGCAUGGUUGAUUAAAUCACUGGCCUUUGGUGAUUGAUUCAACCCCCAGCCCCUUCUCCUCCCUGGAGGUUGGGGAUAGGACUGAAAUUUCCAACCCUCUGGUCAUGUGGCUGGGUCUCCUGCAAACCAGCCCCCAUCCUUAGGUACUUUCUAAAUGUCACCUCACUAACGUAACAAGACACAUGUUUAUCUUCUGUCUUAGGAAAGGCUCAGUGCUAGAAAUGGGGCCAAAGACCAAAUAUAUAUUUCUUAUUAUAAGUCACAAUACUAGAGCUAAUUAACCUGUGACAUUGGGGACUCUAUCAUAAGGAGAUGGGUAGGACUUGAAGGCCUUCGAUAAAGCUGGGUUAUUGAGCAGAAGUCCUGUAUUUCUAUGAAUUUUUCCAUAUUUCUGACUUGUAUCAUCUCCCUCCAUAUUGGCAGGUGAUAUUAGAUUUUUUUUUUUUUGUAAAAAAAAAAAAAACACUAAUUAGCAGAUUCUGACUGCAUACUUACUAUGGGUCAGGAACUUUCAGAGGUGGAGGGCUAUGGGCUCAAAUUCCAUUUUAUCAAAGUUUUUGUGGUGAUGUCAGUUUUGCUGAGUAAACAGUUUCCUGUUUUUGCCCUGAGCCACUGGGCACUGUAAUCAGAAAUCAGCAAUUUCCACCCUACAUUAUGAAUUUUGUCCCUUGAGGAAUUUGUCCCUUGAGGGCCCUGCUGGGAAGAGCCUCUGCGAUCUGAGUUCAUGCGAUCUGAGUGAAGUGCUUGCCUCAGUGCCUGGUACCCAGUAACUUGGCUGUGACUAGUAUGAUUGUUUUAUCAGCACUGGUGACAUUGUCUCAUAGGUUCCUACAGGGAGCGAUCAUCUGUUUAGCAGAUAUUUAUUGAGCACCUACUAUGUGCCAGGCACGGUUUUGGCACUGCAGAUGAAACAGACAAAAUUCCUGGUCCUAGUGAAGACAGGACAUGUUCUACCGGAGACAGGAAAUAAACAAGCUGAUCAGUAGAAUAUAUAGUGUGCUAGAUAGUUUGAGUGCUAUAGAGAAUACCAGGUAGGGAGAGGAGACUGAAAGUGGAAGGGGGUUUCAGUUUGGAGGUGUCAGCUUUAAACAGAGCCCUCAGGAAGGCCUCUCUGAGAAAGUGCUCUUUGAGCAGAGAGAGAUACGAAGGAGGUCAGAGUUAGCUCCUAGAUGCCUGGGGAAGGAGCCUUCUAGACAGAGGGCAUAGCAAAUACAAAGGCCCUGAGACAGGAGGGAGCCAAGAACCCCAAGGAGGCCAGCAAGUCCAGAGUGAAGUGAGUGGGAGGAGCUGGAAAAGAGGAAGUCUCAGAAGUUAUAACUGCUGGUUGGGUAGGGCCUUGUGGGAGGUUCUGGGAACUUUGUAGUUUACUGUGACAUAGGGUAUGGUAGAAAGAUAUUGAGCAGAGGGAGAUGAGAUCUGAUUUGGAUUUUAAGAGGCUCUCUCUGGCUCUCAUGUUCAGAAAUAGACCAUAGAAGGACAAGGGCAGAAGCAGGGAGACCAGUAAGGAGAUGUAUUAGUUUCUUAUUGCUGCUGUAACAAAUUACCACAAAUUUAGUGGCUUAGAACAACACAAAUUUAUUAUUUUACUGGUCAGGAGGCCAGAGUCCUAACAUCAAGGUGUAAGCAAGACUGUGUUCCUUCUGGAGGUUGUACAGCAAAGUCCAUUUCCUUGACUUUUGCAGCUGCUAAAGACUGCCUGCACUUCUGGACUCUUGGCUUCUUUCCCUGUCUUGAAACCAGCAGGAUAGCAUUGUCAUCUCUCUUUCUCUGACAUCUGUUUUCAUUGCCCCAUUUCCUUCUUUGACUCCAACCCUCCUCUUUCCCAUAUAAGGACCCAUGUGAUUAAGUUGGCCUCAUCUGUAUAAUCCAGGAUUAUCUCUCUGUCUCAAGAUCCUUAAAUUGAUCACAUUUGUAAUGUCCUUUUUGCCAUGUAAGGUCUUCACAAUUUGGGGGGAUUAGGGUGUGUUCAUCUUCAGAAGGCCAUUAUUCUGACUACUGUAGGGGUUAGUGCUUUUGUGUAGGGGAAGGAUGAAGGUGGUUUGGGCAAAGGUAGUGAGAAGCAGUUGGAUCCUGGCUAUAUAUAUCAAGCUGCCUCAUAUCUUGGGCCAGUUUCAGCAUGGAAGCUUCCAGAAUUCUGUGGGUCUGUGGCAUAGGUAUCCCCUUUUUCAUUGUCAUUUCAGUUGACUUGGGCCUAUUUCUCAUCCCCCUGAAACUAAGGAACCAUAGACAGUUGUGGUGGGAAGGAACUUCAGAAGCUAUCAAAUCUCCUAUUAUACCUUUAUAAAUUCUUGCUUUGUCCUGGGCCCAUUGAUAACUUCUUGAGUGGUUUUUACCAACUAUAUAUUCUUUUAUUGAUUCAUUCAGCAUUUCCUAGGCAUCUGUUGAGGGUGCUGGUCUGUGCUAUGUAAAAGUAGAAAUAGAAAAUGUAAGAGUCAUGAUCCUUAUCUCUGGGAGAUAGGGACCUAUUUGCAAUCUCUUUGGAAAGAAAUCAGAGAACAAUUUUAGAGCCAAAUGUGAAUGAGAAAUGAAAAAUGCAAGAUUCAUGCAUCAAUACCAAGGGAGUGAAGAAUGUGGAGAGGCUUCUUGGAAGAAGUAACAACAGGUCAUGGAUUUUUAGUUUUCAAUGGGGACCCUGUCAAGAGAAUUGCCAGCUUUUAAUUUUGCUAAGAAUGAAUAUUAGAAAAAUUCUUACCAUCCCUAUUGCUAUCAUUUUAUAAUAGGUAGGACAUUUAAGCAUCCAAGAUAUAAAAAGGACGUGAUCUCAGAAUAAAGGGGGAAUCUCUUGCAUAAAACAUUUUUAGCUUUAUAAAACCUCAAUGCUUUAUUUUUCUCAUUUCAUGAGAGUCAUUGUGGAUUGGCACACCUCAGCCUAGAGACAGAAGAUUGUUUGGGUUGUUUAUAGUUUGGAUUUCUGACUUCAUUGAACGUGACUCUCUCCUUGUAUUUCUUUGGGCUCUGACUUCAGAUGGCUGGUGAUCAGAUGACCAGGACCUGGUGUCUUGCUUGUGGAUAUUCUUUAUUUUUUUAAUAUUUAUUUAUUUUGAGAGAGAAAUAAGGAGGGGCUGAGAGAGAGAGAGAGAGAGAGAGAGAGAGAGAGAGAGAGAAUCCCAAGCAGGCCCCACACUGUCAGCACAGAGCCUGACGGGGGCUCAAUCCCACAAACCACAAGAUCAUGACCUGAGCUGAGAUCAAGAAUCAGACGUUUAACUGACUGAGCCACCCAAGUGCCCAUUGUAGCUACUCUUGAACCUUGUCCUGCUACUGGCUCCUUUACCAGAGGGAAUUUGGGGAGGCCAAGGAGGGAAGAGAAAUGAAGACCAGUUUGCACUGGGGCAUCUGUGGCCAUCUUGUGGUGAGCAAGUGGUUGGCCCAAGUGAUAGUCUAAUUCGACAUGGAGAUUUUGCGAUAUUCUGUGGGGUUCAGUCGUCGUGAUUUUGUUAGUUUCCCAUGGCUUUUACAACAAAUGACCGCAAACUAGGUGGCUUAAACAACAGAAGCUUAUUCUCUUAUAGUUCUGGAGGCUGAAGCCUGAAAUCAAGGUGUCAGCAGGGCCAUGCUCCCUCUGAAGGCUCUAGGGAGAAAGGCUUCCUCACCCUUCUUAGCUCCUGCGGUCGGCCAACAAUUCUUGGUAUUCCUUGGUUCACAACUGCCAUCACCACAGUUUCUGCCUCUGUCCUCCCACAGCGUUCUCUCUGUGUAUCUACCCGUCUGUAUGUUUGUCUCUUAUAAGAACAUCAGUCACUGGCAUUAGGGCCCCUCUAAGCAAGCAACCCCCCAUCUUAACUAAUUAUAUCUGCAAAGGCUGUAUUUUCAAAUGAUAUCACAUUCUGAGGUUCUGGUGGAUUUGAAUUUUGAGGAGACACCAUUUUGGGCUGAAGGGUGUUCCUUCAAAAUUCAUAUAUUGAAGACAAGCCCCAGUACCUUAGAAUAUGACUGUCUUUGGAGAUGGGGCCUUAAAGCACGAACUAGGGAAAAAUGAAACAUUGGAGUGGGCCCUGAUCCAAUCUGACUGGUGUUCUUAUGGAGGUUAGGACAUGCAGAGACAACCAGGGAUGCCCACACGUGAGGAAAGACCACGUGAGGACACAUGAAAGAGGCGGCCAUCUUCAAGCUGAGAAGAGAGGCCUCUGGAGAAACCAAACCUGCCAGCACCUUGGUCUUGGACUUUCAGUCCCCAAAAUGACACUCCAGCGGAAUCAUCGGGCCAUAUGGGAAAAACGGAGGCUUGACCUGGGAGGCGGGCGUUUUCACGUCCUGUUCACAAAUCCUGGUGAUCAAUAAUGUGGGAAGACAAUGGGAAUGCCAGAGGGUCUCUUUCUGUCUCUCGCAGGAUCAUGUUAUUUUUAACCCCCUUCUGCUGCCUGUGGUCCUCUGGAAAGCCCGUCUCCAGAGUCACAAACGUUUGUUUGCUCUUCUUAAGGUUGAAGCCAUUUUCCCCCCUGCUCUGGGCAUCGCCUGUGCGCACCCCCCUACCCGCCCCCCCCCCCCGAGUUCUGCUGUGUUACUGGGGAUGCCGUUUUGUUUUCUUUCCCUCCUUUGUUUUUGCCUCUUCAAGAAAAUGAAAGUGAGCACCUGAGAGAGAGAGAGAGAGAGAGAGAGAGAGAGAGAGAGAGAGAGGAAGGCAGAGGGGGAAGACUGCGAGCACCAAAUGAUCUGAGAAUGAUAAAGGAAGGUUACCUGUGUGUUUGUCAACAAGACGAAAUAAAUAAGAGCAAAAAAAAAAAAAAAA